rnacentral:lncRNA from 1 species
UCAGGAUGGAUUGGGUUUUUGGAUUUGUGUUAAUGAGUUUGUAAAUUUGGUGCGUUGCAAUCUUAACGUACAGUCACAGCUGCUAACUACUGUGUGCAUAACUUUUAUUGUAAGUUUAUUCUUAGCGGUACAAAAUUGGUACAUGUAGUAUUAUAUUAUGUUCUCAUGUUGAACCUAUGGUUGUUCUGGGUGUAACUGCACAAAAUGGGGUGGGGAAGGAUGGGUUAAUCAAGUGGUAUUUUGGGUGGGGGCGGGUGUGCAGUCAUUCCUGUAUAUUGCGGGGCGGGGUGGGUGAGGGGCGGGUCCAUUUAUAACCAACAGUGAUGCACAAUGAAUGUAAUAGAUGCAACGAAUGCUCAUUUAUGUCACAUGUACAUAUCUCACCGAUCAUAUAUAUCUCAGAAUAUAAUAACAAAAGUUAAACGAUAUAUUCGCUUGUAGAGUUAUAUAACUACUAUAUAUCGACGCUGCUUGCUCCACGGACACUCCAGCUCUUGAGUGCAUAUACUUGCAUAUUUUUAGUCGUAUUUUACCUAUUUUCUCACCACUAAUACUAAAGUGAAGGUCAAUGCGACAUGUGCAUGUUGCUACCGGCUUCAGAUUGAGGGGCAUCGGGGAAACUCACUCCACAAAACUCAUGCUUCUUGGUCGAUCAUUUCAACACAUUCGUGUGUUCCUGUCCUCGUCAAGGACGUCCAUAUAUGAGACCAUGAAGAGCAGGUACGGUGGAUGCUACGUUCGGGCUUGGAGAGAGAAACUAAACAGUCGUCACUACCUCAGAGAGUUUUUAGAAUCAUAGCAGUAAGCCAGCAACUUGGGUGGAGACUAUUCGGACAUCGGACAAACGCAAAGGCUGUGUUUUCCUGAUGUGCCGCGCUUAGAUUGGUUCAUCCAAUUCUUACCAAGAGAUUUGCAUGUUUUUGUUUUAGGAAGCGAGGU